rnacentral:rRNA from 1 species
UACGUAGGAUGCAAGCGUUGUCCGUAUUUAUUGGGUUUAAAGGGUGCGUAGGCGGCCUAUUCAGCUAGGGGUGAAAACGUUCGGCUUAACCGGUUACCCGCCAUUGAUACUGAUAGACUUGAGUGCGACAGAGGGUGUUGGAAUGUGUGGUGUAGCGGUGAAAUGCUUAGAUAUCACGCAGAACACCAAUUGCGAAGGCAGAUGCCUAUGUCGUAACUGACGCUGAGGCACGAAAGCGUGGGGAGCAAACAGG